rnacentral:rRNA from 1 species
CCUACGGGAGGCAGCAGUAGGGAAUCUUCCGCAAUGGACGCAAGUCUGACGGAGCAACGCCGCGUGAGUGAUGAAGGUUUUCGGAUCGUAAAGCUCUGUUGCCCUAGACGAACAGCAUGAGGAGUAACUGCCUUGUGUGUGACGGUAUAGGAGAAGAAAGCCCCGGCUAACUACGUGCCAGCAGCCGCGGUAAUACGUAGGGGGCAAGCGUUGUCCGGAAUUAUUGGGCGUAAAGCGCGCGCAGGCGGUCGUUUAAGUCUGGUGUUUAAGCCCGGGGCUCAACCCCGGUUCGCAUCGGAAACUGGAUGACUUGAGUGUAAGAGAGGAAAGUGGAAUUCCACGUGUAGCGGUGAAAUGCGUAGAGAUGUGGAGGAACACCAGUGGCGAAGGCGACUUUCUGGCUUAUAACUGACGCUGAGGCGCGAAAGCGUGGGGAGCAAACAGGAUUAGAUACCCUGGUAGUCCACGCCGUAAACGAUGCAUACUAGGUGUCGAGGAUUCGNUUNUCGUGCGAGUAACACAGUAGUAGUGCGCCGUGGGAGGUACGUCGUCGCGAGAGUAGAACGUUACGAAGGAAGUUAGACGGCGUUGAGACGUUGCCGACGGACGACGACGAGGGAGGAGG